rnacentral:rRNA from 1 species
UCGCAAAUUACCCACUCUCGGUUCGAGGAGGUAGUGACGAAAAAUAACAAGGCCGUUCUCUACGAGGCCGGCCAUUGGAAUGGGUACAACUCAAACCCUUUAACGAGUAUCAAUGAGAGGGCAAGUCUGGUGCCAGCAGCCGCGGUAAUUCCAGCUCUCAAAAUGCAUAGAACCAUUGCUGCGGUUAAAAAGCUCGUAGUUGGAUUUGUGCCGGCGCCGUGGUCCACCCUAACGGGCGGUACUGCGAGCGUCGGCUUUGGGCCGGUCUCCGGGCGGCGCACUUCACUGGGCGUCGUCCGUGGCUGGCUGGUUUACUUUGAGCAAAUCAGAGUGCUCAGCACAGGCGUCUCGCCGGAAUGUUCGUGCAUGGAAUAAUAGAACAGGAUCACGGUCCUCUUUUAUUGGUUUUGUGGACUGAGAUAAUGGUUAACAGAGACGAACGGGGGCAUUCGUAUUGCUGCGUGAGAGGUGAAAUUCUUGGACCGCAGCAGGACGGACUACAGCGAAAGCAUUUGCCAAGCGCGUCUUCAUUAAUCAAGAACGAAAGUCAGAGGUUCGAAGGCGAUCAGAUACCGCCCUAGUUCUGACCGUAAACGAUGCCAACUAGCGAUCCGUCGGUGGCUCCAAGGCCCUGAUGGGGAGCUUCCCGGAAACGAAAGUCUUCCGGUUCCGGGGGAAGUAUGGUUGCAAAGCUGAAACUUAAAGGAAUUGACGGAAGGGCACCACCAGGAGUGGAGCCUGCGGCUUAAUUUGACUA